CAUAAUCAUCUUUAUUAAUGCAGAGAAAACCAUUUAACAAAAUUUAACAAACAAAGACUGCCUCUACAUAAUAAAAAUUAUGUAUGAAAAAACUGAAAACCAACAUUAUUCUCAUCAGUGAAAGACUGAAAGCUUUUUCUAUAACAUUAAGAAUAAAACAAGGAUGCCUACUCUCACUACUUCUAUUCAACAAAGUACUGGAAGUCUUAGCAGAGCAAAUAGUCAAUGAAAAGAAACAAAAGGGAUCCAAAUAUAAAAUGAAUAAGUGAAAUUACCUGUUUGUAGAUAACAUGAUCUUAUAUGUAGAAAACCCUAAAGAUUCCAUGAAAAACAUUAUAAAUAAUAAACAAAUUCAGUAAAGUUGCAGAAUACAAAAUUGACAUACGAAAAUCAGUUGUGUUUCUAUACACUAAUAAUGUAUAAUCCAAAAGGAAAUUUAAAAAAAUCUCAUCUAUAAUACUAUCAAAAAAAUAAAGUACUUAGGGAAACACUUAAACAAGAAAGUGACAGACAUAUACACUGAAAAUUAUAAAACAUUGUUGAAAGAAAUUUAAGAAAACAUAAAUAAAUGCAAAAAUAUCCAAUGUUCAUGGAUUGGAAGACAAUAUUGUUAAUACAUCUAUACUAUCCAAAGUGAUCUAUCUACAUAUUAAAUGGAAUUUCUAUCAAAAUCCUAGUGAUAUAUUUUCCAGAAGUAGAAAAACCCAUGCUAAAAUUUAUAUGAAAUGUCCAAGAACCCUGAAUAGCCAAGACAAUCUUGAUACAAAAGAACAAAGCUGGAGGAUUCAUACUUCGUGAUUUCAAAACUUAUUACAAAGCUACAGUGGGAAAAACAGUGUGGCUCUGUCAAAAAGACAAACAUAUGGAAUGGAUACAAAUGGAAUGCAAUAGAGAGCCCAGAAAUCAACCAUCAAAUAUAUGGUCGCAUGAUAGUCAACAAAAGUGUGAGGAUCAUUCAAUGUGGAAAUGGACAAUUUUUCAACAAAUGUUAUUGGGAGAACUGGACAUCCUCAUGUAGAUGACUGAAGUUGGAUCUUUAACACUGUAUAAAAAUUGAUUGGAACAAUUCAAAAUUGUUCCAUGACCCAAAUAUAACACUUAAAAAUAUAAAAUUUUUAGACAAAGAUAUUGGGCAAAAUCUUCAUGACACUGAAUUUGUCAAUGAUUUCUUGGCUAUGAUAUCAAAGGCAUAGGCAACAACAACAAAAAUAGACAAAUUAGACUUCAUUAAAUUUUCUAAAAAUUGUGCAUCAAAACACACUAUCAACAGAGCAAAAUGCAACCCAGAAAAUGGGAGAAAAUAUUUGCAAAUUUUAUAUCUGACAAAAGAUUAACAUUUAGUAUAUAUAGAACACUCCUAAAAUUCAAUAACAAAAAAACCUAACAACUUGAUUCAAAAUUGGGCAACAGAUUUGAAAAGAUCUUUAUCGAAAAAAGAUAAUCAAAUAGUCAGUGAGUGAUAUGGUUGUCUGUGUCCCUACCCAAAUCUCAUCUUGAAUUGUAGCUCCCAUAAUUCCCAUGUGUUGUGGGAGGGACCUGGUGGGAUGUAAUUAAAUCAUGGGGGCUGGGCUUUCCCAUGCUGUUCUGGUGAUAGUGAAUAAGUCUCAUGGGAUCUGAUGGUUUUAUAAAGGGCAGUUCUCCUGCACAUGCUCUUUUGACCGCUGCCAUGUAAGACAUGCCUUUGCUUCUCCUUUGCCUUCUACCAUGAUUGUGAGGCCUUCCCAGCCAUGUGGAACUGAGAGUCCAUUAAACCUCUUUCCUUUAUAAAUUACCCAGUUUCAGGUAUGUCUUUAUUAGCAGUGUAAGAACAGACUAAUACAAUGAGCAUGAUGAUUAAUUAGGAAAAUGCACAUCAGAACUACAGUGAGAUACCACGUCAUACCCAUUAGGAUGGCUAGUAUUAGAACAAAGAAGAAAAAGAAAAGAAAAGGUGUUGGCAAGUAUGUGGAGAAAUUGGAACCCUUGUGCAUUGUUGGUAGGAAUGCAAAAAUUGUGCAGCCACUGUGGAAAACAGUAUGGCAAUUCCUCAAAAACUGAAAAGUAGAACUACCAUAUGAUUCAGCAAUUCCACUUCUUGGUAUACAGCCAACAUAACUGAACUCAAGUUCUCAAAAAGAUAUGUGUACACCCAUGUUCACAGCAGCAUUAUUCACAAUAGCUAAAAUGUGGAAGCAACCGAUGAAUGGAUAAAUAAAAUGUGUUGUAUACUUACAAAGGAAUAUUGUGCAGGAAGGACACUUGGACACAUGCUAUACCAUGAAUGAACUUUGAAGACAUAUUGCUACAUUGAAUAAUAAAGUCACAAAAAGACAAAUACUGUUUGACUCCACUUAAAUGAGGCACUUAAAAGUUGUCAAACUCACAGAGACAUCAUGGUUGCCUGGGUCUGUCAAGGAGGGGGAAACAGAGAGUGUUUAAUGGGUAUGGAUUUUCAGUCUGCAAGAUAGAAAGAAUUUUGUAGAUGAAUGGUGAUGAUAGUUCCACAACAAUAUAGCUAUACAUAAUACCACCAAACUGUACACUUAAAAAUGACUAAGACAGUAAAUUUUAUGUUACAUGUAUUAUACCACAUUAAAACAUUUUUAAAAAUAUUGUCACUUUGUAGAAUUUGCACUUCAAUUUUGAUGUUUACAAUCUUCUCAUGUAUUUAUUGGCCAUCUGUAUUUUUUAAUUGCCUGUUCAUAUCAUUUGCCUAUUUUUUAAAAAAACAACUGAGUAGUUUGUUAUUGACUUGAAUGAAGUAUCUAUAAACAUUAGCAAAUAGUCCUUUGUCUGACAUAUAAACCUUUAAAGCAGAAAAUUUCAUCAUUAUCUGGUGACUCAGGAUAAGGUGGAGCUGGUCUGAGGGAGGAACUGCUAUUGGUAGACUGUUUUUUUAGUCAACAAUUUGUCUCGCUAAUUUUGGUCGUGCAAACCUAUAACUUGUAUUUCAUUGAGACCAUGCUGUGAUUUCAAAAUGACCUUCCAAAAUCAAACAUUCUAUAUUUUUGGACACUGAAGUCCCAGUAAAGCUUGUAAAAUUUUAUUUUUUCAUAAAUUACAUUUGUAAUGUUGUGUUUGCCUUGUAUUCUGGGAGGCUUUUCAUUCCUCAAAGGUGUUACAAAAAUAAAUGAGUUGAUUUAUAAAAAUGCAAUUCAUAUUUUAUUAUUUUUGUUCCCAUAAUGCUUACUUCAUCUUUAUUCAUAAGUGAGUGAUGUAUUGGAUUAAUUCUUGGCAUACACCAGUUUGAUUUUAAUUUGUUGAACAGCAUUAUUCAGAAAUAGUAAAAUAAAUAAUUUCAUGUUAGAAGACCUGAUUCUAAAAUGACUCUAAUUUUCAGCAUGGCUUGGUGUUUAUCAUGUAGGAAACUUGAUUCCACAAAACACUCACAUAUAUUUUGAAAACUUUAUAACAUUUCUAUUCUUAUGCCUGGAAAUAAUAUAAUAGAGAACUUAAAGUAUUUUAGAAACCACUAAUCUCCACCAAACACAUUUAAAUCAACACAUUUAAACCCUCACAAUUUAAAUUAAAAUUUAGCUGCUAUUAAUUACAAUACAAAAAACUAGUUGUGAUGGUUUAGCAUAAAACUAAUGUUUCAAACUGCAAAUAAUUUAAACGUUUCAAAAUGGACCAAAAGCUGUUGUUUCACCUUUGGAUUAACAGCCAAUUACUAUUUAAUAUUUAGUAGUAACAAAUGGUUACUUUAAAGAGUUUCUAUCUUUCCACUUCAAAGGAAGCCUGUGGGAGCCCACAUGAUUCCUGGUAUGGAAGUUGAAAAUCAAUCAUGUAUAUAACACUCAAUAUUGAAUAUAUAAUUGUGUCCGGAAUUAGUGGGUUCUUGAAUGAACCCUUGUGGUGUUACAGUUCUUAAAGGUGGCGUGUCUGGAAUUGUUCGUUCCCCCCGGUAGGUUCAUGGCCUCACUGGCUUCAGGAGUGAAGCUGCACACCUGGAAUGUGGAAAUUAGACAACAUAAUCUUGAAGCAAUCUUAAUGUCCAUUGAUGGAUGAAUGAAUAAAGAAAAUGUGGCAUACACAUACAAUUGAAUAUUAUUCAGUCAUAAAGUUCAUAAAGGUGGCACGUCUGGAGUUGUUCCUUCCUCCCAUCUGGAGUUAUUCUUUCCUGCCAGUGGGUUAGUAGUCUCGCUGGCUUCAGGAGUCAAGCUGUAGACCUUUGCCGUGACUGUUACAUCUCUUAAAGAAGGGGCAGACCCAAAGAGUGAGCAGCAGCAAGAUUUAUUGCAAAGAGCAAAAGAACAAAGCCUCCACAGCCUGGAAGGGGACCUGAGCCGGCUGCCUGGCUGGCUCGGGUGGCUUGCUUUUAUUGCCUUAUCUGGCCCCACCCACAGCCUACUGAUUGGUCCAUUUUGCCAAGAGCUGAUUGGUCCAUUUUACAGAGAGCUGAUUGGUCCGUUUUGACAGAGUGCUGAUUAGUCCGUUUACAAACCUUUAGUUAGACACAGAGUGCUGAUUGGUGCAUUUACAAACCUUUAGCUAGACACAGAGUGCUGAUUCGCGCUUUUACAAACCUUUAGCUAGACAGAAAAGUUCUCUAAGUCCCGCCGGACCCAGAAGCCCAGCCGGCUUCACUUCUCAAUGGCAGUCGCAGCGGGACUUCGUGGCACCUAGCCCGGGCACUCUGGCAGCCCACAGGGAGCUCAUCCCCCGAUCAAGCCCAGCAGGCGCCUGCCGGCUGCGGGUGCGGGGCCCGCCAAGCCCGCGCUCACCCGGAACCCACGCCGGCCCGCUAGCGCCGGGCGCGCAGCCUCGGCGGGCGGGCGCCUCUCCUUCCACACCUCCCCGCCAGCAGAGGGAGCUGGCUCCGGCCGCGGCCAGCCCCAGAGAGGGACCUCCUCAGCGCAGCGGCGGGCUGAAGGGCUGCUGGAGCGCGGCCAGAGCGGACGCCCAGGCCGAGGAGGCGCCGAGAGCGAGUGAGAGCUGCUAGCACGUUGUCACCUCUCAUAAAGAGGUCCACAUUUGCUGAAAUGUAACUCUUAUCUCAUGCACUGGGAGUGAUGAACUUCACUAGGAAAUCAUCGUUCUUUCUGGAAUUAGACGAUAUAAGCUGCAGCUCAGAAUCAGAGGAUUUUGCUCUAUUGCCUAAGCUGGAGUGCAAUGACAUAUGAUUGCUUACUGCAGCCUCCAACUCCGGAGUUUAAGCAAUCCUACCACCUAACCCUCCUAAGUAGCUGGGACUACAGGUACUUUUCACCAUGUCUGGCCAAUUUUUAAUUUUUUUUGUUUUGUUUUUGUAGAGACAGUGUCUGGCUCUGUUGCCCAGGCUGAUCUUGAACUCCUGGCCUCAAGCCAUCAUCCUCCUUUGGCCUCCCAGGUGCUGGGUUUACAGGGUGACUCACUCCACCCAGAUGUGGCCAAAUGAAUUUCUAGUGGAUUCUAAUGUCUUUUUCACAGGAUUAAAUAAAACAAUACAUAUAAAUAAUUAAGAUUAGGGCCAAGUACAUAGUGCAUAAUAAUUAUUGGCUGCAAUGGGGUUAAAGGAGGAAAUUGUAACGUGGCAUAGAAAUUUGCACCUUGAAAUUCAGCCUUUUUAUCUCAUUGCUCAGGAAACAAAUGUUCAGAGCAUGAAAUCACUUGAUCAAGAUAAUUCAUGUGAUCUUUAUUUCUCUUCAUAAGUUACUGUUAUGAAAUGUGCUAUUUAUUAAUCAUCUGCUGUGUAACAGGUGUUCCACAAAAGUCUGGGUAUAGAGUAAUGCCCUCAUAAAACUUCCCUAUAGUGUCACACAUUCUGGGUCUAAAACUUGAAUUAAACCCAUGUAAGAUUUAAUUACAUCAAAUGUUGAAAAGUUUUGAUACUCAGGUUUAGCUUGAAUCUUAGCAGAGAGGAUAUGGUCUAAUUAAACCACUAACUACAUCUGCUAUUUGUAUCCAUUAACUUUAAUUUUAUAGGGUACUUCAUAGAACCAACGAAAUGGCUGAGAUGCCAGGCUUGGUUAGGGUAGAAACAAUGGCUAAUCCAAUCAUCCAGGUUGUAGGAGUCAGCCUAACCUCAGCGUUGACACUAGACUGUAUCAACUCCAACUCUUGUUUUUUCUGUUCUUGAAUUCUUCCACUUGACUCAGAAACUAGAAGGGGCUGGGGAACGGGAUGGAUUGUUCUAAUUUGAAUGACAUAUUCACUCCUUGGCUAAGAGAGGUACAUCACCUUGACUGGCAGUCCACCAUAUUGCUCACAAUGGGAGUGAAGUUACUCCCCAGGAGGAGAUUAGUGUGCCACCUCAAAAGAAAGUGGAAUGCAGAACAAUUACCUAUGCAGUUACUGAAACCAGAGCUCUAGCAAAAAGUAUAAAAUAAAAAUGAGAGACUAUGGAACUUAGAUAACACCCUGGUUCUGAAUGGGAGGGGGGCAGUAGAGCUCAAAAAGAAAAUAUUAGAACCCUAGCCAAGUCCCAGAAUUACCUUAGUCAGUCCCUGUGUACCAGCCUGUGGUAUUUUGUGAUGGAAAAGGAAAAACAGUAACCCUGCCUUCUUACUCUUUUUGGUAUACCUUACCAAUUCUCUUUUAUAUUCCAAGAAGUUCUUGCCUGAAAUAUGUAAUAGUUAAGUGUUGUUUUUCUCCUUGCUUAUAUUGACUUUGUGAAAAGAGCUUAUGAAAUGAAGUGUUGCUCAGUCUUAGAAAACUAGGCCAGGUAUCCAAUUAGCAUAUCUCUCUUGCUCACAGGACUAUCAGGAUGAUUAAGGAGUGUUCCUUCUAGCAGAGAAAAAGGUCUUCUGAGCUGGGAGUCAGUUUGACAGACUAGUCUUUCAUUGACCCCCUUCAGCUCUCCUUUAUUUUACCCUUGAUUUUUAAGGAGGGUGCUUUUACUGUUCUUUAUAUCACUCUUGCUGUCAUUGUUACUGCAGUUGAGAAUGCUUUGAUUCCCCCUGUGUUUAAAUUCUUUAUCUUCUUCUAUUUCACACAUUCAAUGUUGUAGCCAAUUGCAAAUUCUGUUUGGGCAAUUCAUUGAUGCAUAACACUUUUAAGAAGGGUAUAACUGAAAGGGCAAACUUUUGUAAAAGAUUAUUAUUAAAGAUAAACACUUUGGAUGGAUGGAUGGAUGGUUGGAUGGAUGGAUAGAUGGAUGCCACAGACCCUGUAAGUACACUGUGCAGAACCCCUUAUGCUCAUUUCUCAUUUCUGAGUGUCUUUUCUCCUGUUUCAGUGUGUCAUUGAUCUCAAUCAGCUGUACCUGAGAGUCAUAUUUGGCACACUCUCCUAGGGCAACUGGGACACUUCCCAUAGUCAUGGGCAACCAGAAGUACUUGGUAGUUUACAUCAGUCUCUCACCUUGAGGGCUUCAAUCAGUGGCUGUAUGUUGUGGAAGUAUAAAGUCCCAGGAUCUGAUGAGAUCAGAAUGAAGCUACAUUUAAUAGGGCUUGGCCUGAAAUCAUACCCUUGCUUGGCUUCUUCCCCUUCAGUGUCAUGUGCCAAAUCCCAAGAAAAGAACUAGUUAAUUUGUCUAAGAACCUCAGAAAACACUGGCACAGAUAGUGAAGAAGAGGAAAAGUAGUAUAAGAUGAAGUUGGAAAGAGACUUAAGAGUCAGAUCAUGCCAAGACUUAUAAGGAGUCUGAGUAUUAUUCAAAGCAUCACAGUUCACACCUACUAGCCUUUUCUCCUUCAUAGGAAAAACUGCAAUCAAGAAUGGUAGCCACAAUGGGUAGUUGCCAUGGUAGUAAGGACAAGUAGCCAAUAUUUACGGUAUUGUCAUUGCUGGUAAAGGAAGCAUAGGGUAUACAACUAAUUUUCUAAUGCAAUUGGUGCAAUUGUUAGCCAGGUUGUACCAAAGGAAACUUCCUAUUCUUCAUCACAAAAUAAUUAUCCUUAAAAAGAGCUUGGAAUCAAGAAUCCAGAGAUAUAGUGCUAAUAUUCAAGAGUUUUCACAUUAUGCUAAAUUUAGCCAAAUGUUGCAAAAUCAUGGUUAAGUUGACAUAGGCCCCUGUCUAAGCUGCAACUCUUGGUUGAACACAUCAAUAAUGGUGUUUAAGCAUCCCAAAUUCUACUGAUGGCAGAGAAGCCAAAUUGAUCAUUUUGAUGUCAAAUGACCUUCAUUUGCUUCUGUUAUGGUUCUGUUCUCUAGGGAAGAACAAAUAAUUUCUAACCUAUGCUUAGCUAGGAUGUGACGCUUUAUUAUCAAUUUAUUGAUAAGGAUUAUGGUGUACUAUAGGUUGUUAUUUAUUUAUCUUAUGUUAGUUUAUCACCACUUACAAUCUGCUAACUUUUCUAAAAAUUAUCAGUAGAAUUAGUUUUAUUUUUUCAUUGCAUUAAGAAGCACAUUUUUAAAUAAUCUGAAAUUGUUUUUACAUAAACAUAACUUAUCUAAGAUUUAGAUUUUAAUAACACUACAUUUUGUUAGUGCAAGCUUGGCCUCCAUGCUUACUAAAACAUAGGUAGUUUAAUUAGCUGAUCACAAUAUGGAAUAUGACUAUUAGACGAGAAUAUGUUUUAAAAUUUGUUUUAAUAUCCUGUAAGAGAAGGCAAAUCAACAAGCAUGUGGAGAGAAACUCUUUUGUUGAUCUACUUACUUUUAAAUAUAUUUUGGCACAUAGGACCAUUAUUCACAGGAUCCAAUUUAUUUCAACUUACAACUUAUUAGUAAUAAUAGUAUAUGUAGCUUUAUAUCUUUAUGUGAAAAUCCCAACUGUGACUUAAGUGUGAGUGUCAUAUCCUGCAAUUUCACAGAUACUUAGAAGUGAUAGAUGAAAAGCAUAUAUAUUCUUCUUGUUUACUGAAGAUAUUUAACACCAGAAAAAGAUUAAGGAAAAAGAAACACUCUCCAUAUGUAUUCAUACAUUUUUAAUGAGAAAAAAAAAGAAAUAAGCUCUGUCAAAGUGCUAUUUGUAGCUAUUUCCAAAUUUAAUUUUAUGUUUUAAAAAGUUUUUGAAGUCCCACCUAAGAUAACAUCUGUGAGGCCAGAAAUAAAUAAAAUCCAAGUGUAUUUAAAAGAAACUAAGGAUUUAAAGGUGAGCAGAACCUGAAGUGGAUAAAAAUUUGUCUUUUCAAUGUACUUGGUGUUCAUUUUGGGAAAUUAGCCUCGUGACCCCCAGCCUAAAUGACAUGAUCCAGUGAGGUGCUAAAUUAGUGUGAUAAGACCCCUGGAAUUGAGGAAGUUUCAAGAAAGGAUGCUGAAAGUCUACCAUACAUUGAGCUACUGUAGAUUAAUGAUUCAUGGCAUUAUCUUAUUUACUCCUAAGAACAACUGUGUACAUUAGAUAUUAUUAUCUUCAUUUUAUAGAAGAGACACCAAAUGUUGGAGAGGCUAAUGACUUCACAUAGCUAUUAAUCAGCAGAGGUAGAUUUAAAAUCUGAAUCCAAAUCCAGAAAUCACAAAGCUGUCAUAUCCCCUCUAGUACCAGCCUAGUAAUUGUGACUUAUGUGCUUAAUAAGAAAUCAGAUCUAUUUUCAUGAACACUAUGUUUAAUAAAUCAUCUUAUUGAAUCAGAGGUCCUAACUGUCUAGCCUGAACUAACCAACUGGGUUAUAGUAAUCAAGCAAUUAAAGACAACAGUUUGGAAUUGUAGGUGACAUAAGGCAGGUAAAUAAGAAGGAAUCAUUCCUGGUUUUGCAUAGCCACAUACAGAGCACAGUGCCUAGAGCAGAGCAUUGCAGAUCCAUUGAGUGGGGAGUGCUUUUAAGAAUCCAUCUAGUGUGCCUGGAAAAGAAACAGGAAAGAAAUCACAAACUGUUAACAGGUAGAAUAAUUUACUAAAAAUGUCAUACUGCCUGUCACUGGUUUAUUAUAAGUAGCAUAAUUCAAAUGAAACCUACAUGGGCUCCAAAAUGUUACACCUAGAAUACAGCAAGAUUUGACCAUGACUACCCUAAAUGAUAUAUGAUCAGUCCAUUUUCCUUUGCUAUAAAGGAAUGCCUGAGACUAGGUAAUUUAUAAAGAAAAGAGGUUUAUUUGGCUGACAGUUCUACAGGCAGUGCAAGCAUAGCACCAGCCUCUGCUCAGCUUCUGGUGAAGCCUCAGGAAGCUUUUAUUCAUGACAGAAGGUAAACAGGGAGCAGACAUGUCACAUGGGGAGAAAGAGAGGACGAGAGAAGGCAGGCCAGGCUCUUUAAACAACCAGCUCUCACGUGAACCCGAGCUCACUCAUUACGGUAGGAAGGGCACAAGCAGUUCAUGAGAAUCUGACCUCGUGAGCCAAACACCUCUCAUUAGGCCCUACGUCCAACACUGGGGGUCAUAUUUCAACAUAAGAUCUGUAGGGGACAAGCAUCAAAACUAAAUCAAUAUAGUUCACCAAGCACACGCACAGUGAUUCUUAGUCAACAUCCGGUUGGCAGAUCUACCCUGUGAGAUUUACCUAGCUAUUUAACAACUGCCAACAUACUACUUUUUAAUCUAACUUUCAAUCAAAUCAUCAUGUAUAUUAUACCAGAAAGCAAAUUAGAAUCACAUGUUCUUAAUUUACCAAGGAAAGCCAUGUGCCAAAAACAUCUUUUGGAAUACGGGAAAAUUGAUCAGAAAUUUAACUUCUAAUUUAAUAUUGGUUCCGCUUUUAUUGGUAGUAAACUAUAAAUGCUAAUAUCCAAUGGUAGGAUUAGGAUGAGACUCUUUGACCUAGAACAAGAGGGUGAGGCAUUUGCGCUCAGCUUUGUAGAAAGCUUUGUAGCUUGGGAACAAACAAACCCUCAUCAUUAGCAGUUCAGUUUCUUCAACUUCUCUUUCUCUUUUUCUUCGCCUAUCAAUCUUAUAAGGUUUGUUUCUCUCCUGUUCCAUUCAAAGAUCUUUGCUCUAAUAAAAAGCACAAUUUAAGAAGUUUUCUCAUUCUGGAUAUACUUUUUACUGCCCAAAGUACAGCACAGAGAAUUAAGUUUUCAAAAACCAAGUGAUAUAAAAGAAAGAAAAAGAGAUUAAAGAACAUGAAAGUGCUACAGAGACUCAAUAAAAUAUAUGUAGUUUUUUUAACUCUGAAUUUUCCUCUUUUGAAGACAACCAAGAUCUUUUAAAACACAUUAUCUUAAAUUAUUUUUUAUUUGUAUCAGUUCUCCAUUAAGUUACGAAUAUAUAUUUUUAAAACAACUUUGGAAAAAUACAUUUUCUGUUUUAUUUUGUUCUACAAAAUAUAGAUAGAAUACUUCUCCGAAAGAUACCAUUUUCCUAGUACACAGGGUAUGAAAUCUCAGAAAAGUACAAAAAAAAAGAAUACAAAGCUUAUAGGCUUGUGAUGGGACUUAGGAGAAAAGUUUGGACAAAGGGACAAGCAUACAAUGCAUCUUCCUUCUCUUCAGACAGAAACAGUAUUAAUACCAAAAGAACAUGUAAAAGUGAGCAAUUCCCUCUGUAUUCACACAAUCCAAGCAAGUGUGAAUGAUAAUGGGAUCUUGAAUCUCUCAUACCAGACAUCAGUAAAAAAACAACUAUGUCCUGUCAGCCUUAUAACAAAGGAGCUUAUUAAGAUAAAUGAUACUUUUAAGAUAACAUCUACCAUAAUAUGCUACACUUGGUAUUCAAAUGUAAAACAAGCCAAAGUCAAUAUAUCCGUUGUUCUCCCUCUUAAUUCUUUGCCUUAAUCUCCUUCACAACAAAUAAAAUUGUAAAGCAAAUCAGCUGCUCAAAACUAACAGUGCCACUUGUCCUAUGUCAAAAUUUGUCUAGGACAGUCUAAAUUCAAAUAUUCAAUUCUUCUAUGGACAAUGCAAAUUUAUUUAUAUCAUGCUUCCUUUUAACAACCUUGAUAGGAAUUUCAAAACACUGGAGAUUAAC